rnacentral:rRNA from 1 species
UCCUACGGGAGGCAGCAGUAGGGAAUUUUCGUCAAUGGGCGCAAGCCUGAACGAGCAAUGCCGCGUGAACGAGGAAGGUCUUCGGAUCGUAAAGUUCUGUUGAAGGGGAAAAAGAGCGGAGAGAGGAAAUGGUCUCCGAUUGAUAUUACCCUUCGAGGAAGUCACGGCUAACUACGUGCCAGCAGCCGCGGUAAUACGUGGGUGGCGAGCGUUAUUCGGAAUGAUUGGGCGUAAAGGGUGCGUAGGCGGCCUGCUAAGUCUGGAGUGAAAGGUACCGGCUCAACCGGUACAGGCUCUGGAAACUG